CAGAAAUCAAAAAUUUUUCAGAGAAGUUGUUGCAAUGCAGUUGCAAUGAGGAAGUGCAGUCACUGCUUGGGUCAGAAGAAGGAAUUGAUGUGCUAAUAAGUGUUGGUUCUAGAGUUGUCCCUAGCAAAUGUUCUUUGCAAACCAUAGACAAGAUUCCAAGAUAUUAUGGCUAAUAUAACUGUCUAAUUUUAUAGAAUUGCAACUGAAGUUACAUUCAACAAAAAAACAUGGAAGAAGGUACUCACCAGAAAUGAAGUCCUUAGCAGUUUCAUUGUAUCAUGCUAGUGGCAAAGCGUAUAGCCUCCUCGCCAAGCUGUUUAUUCUGCCAACAAAGUCUUCAAUUAGACGGUUUGUUUCACGAAUUCCAAUAGCAGCUGGUAUUCCUCAGGCAACCUUAAAUCUGUUGAAAGAAGAAGUGUGUUACAUGAAUGAUAUGGAAAAGCUGUGCACUCUUUGUGUUGAGAUAUCAUUAAAAACACACCUUUACAACAACAUCACAGAAGAUAAGAUUGUUGGAGUAGAUGACUUUGGUGGAUAUCGAACAAACAAAUUGGCAACAUCAGGUCUUGUAUUCGUGCUGCGAAGCAUAUCUGGAGGUUGGAAGCAACCUUUUGGGUAUGUACUUGUUAAUGAAUCUUGUCUAGUUGAUGUUUUGCAAGAUUUGAUCAAAGAAGUCAUUCGCAAGCUUGAUUUGAUUGGGUUGAACAUUUGUUUGGUAAUAUCAGAUAUGGGGUUCAACUUCUACAGUAUGUCACAAAAAUUGAAUGUCACCAACGAGAAGCCAUGGUUUGUUCACAAUGGAAGAAAAAUAUUUCUAAUGUUUGAUCCUUCACAUCUGCUCAAGGCACAAGAAAUAACCUCAUGAACAGCACCUUUCAAUUUGGAAAAUAUUCGGCUUGCUGGAAAGACAAUGAAAAUGUAUAUGAGAGAGAUAAAUCGCUAUCAAUUAGAGCAGCUCCUUAAUGAUACUUAACAUUUUAAAAGGUUUCAAGUUUGGUCCCGACUCCAUAACAGGUAACAAGCAGACACUAACAUGGCAUCGAAUUUUG